UAGAUGGAUGCCUGCUGGUUUGGGCGCUUAGCUGUUAACUAGGAUCUUGAGGGGUCGAGGCCCUCCCAUCUAC
rnacentral:tRNA from 1 species